AAGACUUUAUGUUAAAAAACAAUUAACCUUCAAAGUUAAAAUUAUAAGUAUUAUUCUUAUAAGUCUUA
rnacentral:tRNA from 1 species